CCCCUUCCAUUAGGCAAGCCGCGCAAUUAUAUAAGAAUUGUCCUUUCGGGGACUAUGGACAUAAACGCGCUCGUAAUAAGCGGAUCGGACCCGGGGGCGGUACCCGGCGGCUCCACCAAGAGCGUAUCUAAGGAUACGUUGUUGAUGGGGCCGAAAUAGGAUCGACGAACGUCUAAAGGGGUUAGCUUUGUUUCGGCUGUCUGCCACCGUUAUCGGCGAAACUUGUACAAUUGCAAAUGACAAUCGUGCUCCAGUAGCAAUGGCCGCGUAAGCGACCGGAGAUACUGAAAUCUUAAGCCCUGGCGCCUAGCUGCGUCAGGCGGGGUUCGUAGGUACCUGGCAACAGAAACCUACACU
rnacentral:tmRNA from 1 species